UAACCUUUUUGGGAUAGGGGGCAGCAUUUUCACUUUUGGAUGAAUAGUGUGCCCAGACUGAACUGCCUCCUACUCUGUCCCAGAUGCUAAUAUAUGCAUAUUAUUAUUAGUAUUGGAUAGAAAACACUCUGAAGUUUCUAAAACAGUUUGAAUUAUGUAUGUGAGUAUAACAGAACUCAUAUGGCAGGCAAAAACCUGAGAAAGAAUCAAAACAGGAAGUGAGAAAUCGAUUUUCAAAACAGUGCCUAUUGAAAUCCCAGUGAGAUAUGAAUGAGGAUGCACUUCCUAGGGCUUCCACAAGAUGUCACCGUCUUUAGAAACUGGUAUGAGGAUUCUACUAUAAAGGAGGGGCUCAUAAUAGCUCUUUGAGUGAGUGGGCUGGCAGUGAGCCUCGGUCUCAUGACGCGCACUCCGGACAGAGUUUGCUCUCGUUCCAAUGCUUUUCUUCAGACAAUGUAAUUCUCCGGUUGGAACCUUAUUGAUGAUUUAUGUUAAAAACAUCCUAAAGAUUGAUUGCAUACAUCAUUUGACGUGUUUCUACGGACUGUAACGGAAAUAUUCAAGUUUUUGUCUGGAGGAAGUGCCUCAUGAAGUUGGAUUACUGGGCUUAACACGCUAACAACAAGUGGCUAAAUGAUGGGCUUUAUGGAAAUUUAUGGAACAAAUCAGUCAUUUAUUGUCGAACUGGGAUUCCUGGGAGUGCCUUCUGAUGAAGAUCAAAGGCAAGUGAAUAUUUAUAGUUGUCAUGUAUUGUCAUGUUGUGUCUUGUUUCUGUCCUUUCCCUUCACCCUGUCUCCCUCUGCUGGUCGUUAUUAGGUUACCUUUUCUCCCCCUCUUUCCCCCAGCUGUUCCUUGUCUCCUCCUAACUACCUCGUCACCCCUUUUCCCACCUGUUCCCUUUUUCCCUCUGAUUAGUCCUCUAUAUCCCCCUCUUUCCCCCAGCUGUUCCUUGUCUCCUCCUAACUACCUCGUCACCCCUUUUCCCACCUGUUCCCUUUUUCCCUCUGAUUAGUCCUGUCGGAAUCUGCCUGUCCAUCUGAGCCUACGUGUGUUUCGUCAUUAAAGUAACUCAGUUUUGUUAAUUCGCUUUUGGGUCCUCAUUCACGCUUCAUAACAAUAGUGUUUUUUUCUAGCUUCUGUUGACACC
rnacentral:lncRNA from 1 species